AGUGAACGCUGGCGGUAGGCCUAACACAUGCAAGUCGAACGGCAGCACAGUAAGAGCUUGCUCUUACGGGUGGCGAGUGGCGGACGGGUGAGGAAUACAUCGGAAUCUACUUUUUCGUGGGGGAUAACGUAGGGAAACUUACGCUAAUACCGCAUACGACCUACGGGUGAAAGCAGGGGAUCUUCGGACCUUGCGCGAUUGAAUGAGCCGAUGUCGGAUUAGCUAGUUGGCGGGGUAAAGGCCCACCAAGGCGACGAUCCGUAGCUGGUCUGAGAGGAUGAACAGCCGCAUGGGAAAUGAGAAGCGCACCAGCCUCCUAGGGGAGGCGGAAGUGGGGAAUAGUGGACAAUGGGCGGACGCCGUACCCAGCAAUCCGGGGUGGGGGAAGAGGGCCUUCGGUUUGAAAGGCCCUUUUGUGGGAAAAAAAAAGCAGCGGUUUAAUACCCCGUUGUUGGGACGGUCCCAAAAAAAAAGACCCCGGCUAACUUCGUG
rnacentral:rRNA from 1 species